UUCUCAUCACCUUUUGUGUGAGAAGUUUGUACAUCUCUUUUCUUAACUGUAUUUGGAAGCUCCCCUUUCUGUCUCUAAGGAGCCAUUGCUAACUGUUGUACGAGAAGGUCACUUCUCAGUGGAGUUACUUGCCUUUUACAAGACAUUUCCCUGCCUUUUACAAGAGAUCUUAUUUCAGGUUUAUAUUCUUUGGUAUUUUCCUUUUCCAAACACAUAAUUCCCUUACCUUCAUGGAAUCCUGCAGGAAUACUUAGAUCACUCGUUACAUGACAAAACUUGUUAGUGGAGGCAAGAAGAAAAAAAUUGAAAAAAUAAAAGAGAAAAAAAAGAAUGAGAAAGACAAAAAAAAUAUCAGUCAUGCACUGCAUACAUAGCAUAUUUCAUACUUCAUGCAUACUAUUUUGAAACAUCCUCUUUGUACAUCUGACCCAUUUUCCCUCCACAUAUAUUUCAGUU
rnacentral:lncRNA from 1 species